CUCUCUGCUGUCUGAGUGAGUUGGAGUACUGCACUUCUGUGGAUUCAUCGUGGGUGGAACACGACCCAAAUAUCUUCCAUUUAUUUAUCAGAUGUACAGGCUCGUCUUACAGACAGCACACCAGAGGUCAGUACAUAUG